rnacentral:rRNA from 1 species
AUAAAUAAGCGGAGGAAAAGAAACCAAACGGGAUUCCCUUAGUAACGGCGAGCGAAAAGGGAACUGUCCAGCACCAAGUCUUGACAUCUUACGGUGUUCAAGAGAUGCGGUGUUAAUGUAUCGACSCAUCGUGCAUUGUUUUDGGCAUUUCAAGUUCCUACGACCGGGACUUCCAGAGCGGGUGUAAGACCCAUAGAGAUGCCAGACUGAUGUACGCUGAGCGAUGCAUUCUAGAGUCAGGUUGCUUGAGAGUGCAGCUUAAAGUCGGUGGUAAACUCCAUCCAAGACUAAAUAUUACAGCGAGACCGAUAGCAAACAAGUACCGUGAGGGAAAGUUGCAAAGCACUUUGAAGAGAGAGUUCAAAAGUACGUGAAACCAUUGGCAGGCAAACAGAUGGAACCACGAAGUUGCGCCUCGGUCGAUUCAAUCAUCACCAUUGAUCAAUUGCUGGCAAUURGGAUCUUUUCGGAGAUUGAUUUYCAAYAAUUCUGAUUGAUGGUGUUGGUGCAUUUCGUGCCGAGGAUGCAAAGCCACGUUCAACUAGAGUUGGGACGGCUGUAAGACAGGAUUCAAGAAAGGUACCCGUCAAGUGCUUGCAUUUGGCGGUGUUAUAGUCUUGAAUUGGAACCGUCACCAAACCAACUGGUUGAUGUAAAUUCUCCCAAUGGAGUCAAACUAUAUCUGCCUGUGGCUGUUAGUCCGCAUUGAGUAAUGUUCUUUGCGUAUCUUUCGAUGCGAAAAGGCAUUGCRAAAAUGUUGGCUAAUGGUUGCUUGCGUGAUAUGGUGGAACUGUGGCGUGAGUAGGUCGGUCUCCAUCUGACCCGUCUUGAAACACGGACCAAGGAGCCUAUCAUAUACGCGAGUCGCACGGUCUUGUUUAGGCCUGUGAGGCGUAAUGAAAGUAAAGUUACGAUACUCAGUAAAAUGGGUUGCAGUAAUGGCUCGCCUACUUUGUUUUCAAUGGCAAUAUGGCGAAGCUGGAGCGUAUACGAUGGUACCCGAAAGAUGGUGAACUAUGCCUGGGCAAGACGAAGCCAGAGGAAACUCUGGUGGAGGUCUGUAGCGAUUCUGACGUGCAAAUCGAUCGUCAGACCUGGGUAUAGGGGCGAAAGACUAAUCGAACCAUCUAGUAGCUGGUUCCCUCCGAAGUUUCCCUCAGGAUAGCAGGCGUUCAUCUGAUCAGUAGUCUCAUCCGGUAAAGCUAAUGAUUAGAGGUCUUGGGGUUGAAACGACCUCAACCUAUUCUCAAACUUUAAAUGGGUGAGAUGGUUGACUUUCUUAAYUKWUUGAAGCCAACCAUUUGGAUACGAAUGCCUAGUGGGCCAUUUUUGGUAAGCAGAACUGGCGCUGUGGGAUGAACCAAACGUCGAGAUAAGGCAUCAAAUGCGUACGCUCAUCAGACCCCAUGAAAGGUGUUGGUUGCUAUAGACAGCAGGACGGUGGCCAUGGAAGUCGGAAUCCGCUAAGGAGUGUGUAACAACUCACCUGCCGAAGCAACUAGCCCUGAAAAUGGACGAUGCUGUAGCGUGGAGCCGAUACUCGACCGUUGUGGUGAAUUUAAUUAAAAUUAGAUGCCACAACGAGUAGGAGGGCCGCAAUGUUAGCAUUGAAGGUGUCCGGCGUGAGCCGGCCUGGAGCUAUCAUUGUU